rnacentral:misc_RNA from 1 species
GAUGAAGAACGCAGCGAAAUGCGAUAAGUAAUGUGAAUUGCAGAAUUCAGUGAAUCAUCGAAUCUUUGAACGCACAUUGCGCCCGCCAGUAUUCUGGCGGGCAUGCCUGUUCGAGCGUCAUUACAACCCUCAGGCCCCCGGGCCUGGCGUUGGGUAUCGGCGGAGCCCCCCGUGGGCACACGCCGUCCCCCAAAUACAGUGGCAGUCCCGCCGCAGCUUCCAUCGCGUAGUAGCUAACACCUCGCGACUGGAGAGCGGCGCGGCCACGCCGUAAAACACCCAACUCUUCUGAAGUUGACCUCGAAUCAGGUAGGAAUACCCGCUGAACUUAAGCAUAUCAAUAAGCGGAGGA